rnacentral:rRNA from 1 species
UACGGAGGGUGCAAGCGUUGUCCGGAAUCACUGGGCGUAAAGGGCGCGUAGGCGGCUCAUGAAGGCUGUGGUGAAAGUCCGGGGCUCAACCUCGGAUCGGCCGUGGCGACUCGUGGGCUGGAGCACUGUAGAGGCGGGUGGAAUUCCGGGUGUAGCGGUGGAAUGCGUAGAGAUCCGGAAGAACACCUGUGGCGAAAGCGGCUCACUGGACCAUUACUGACGCUGAGGCACGAAAGCUAGGGGAGCAAACAGGG